AGAGCCGACCCGAUGCUGCUUGAAGAAGGCUGGAGGUAUGUUAAGGAGACAAGGGCUGUCAAGAAGCAGGGAUGUCUCUGGAAAGGGUUAUUCAUGUUAGGCUCCUGAAAACACCACAAGGACCUACCCUCCGGGAGCCAGCCAGAGAACCCUUCUUCCUGCACUGUCUCCGUUAUGCCCAACAUUUCUGGGCAUAAGUUUUAAUAAACCUUACCUGGGAAAAGUUUGUUUGGCCUCGUGUUAAUUGCUAUUAUAUGGAGAGCCAAGAAUCUCGAACCAGUAAGAGUUGUGAAGUCACCCUCAAUAUUUCCCAAGUCUUCAAAGGAAUUGAGACACUAUAAUCAUUACCCAGGACUCCACGCUUGUCAAAUUUGUUGAUGACCUCCUACUUUGCAACCAAACUGAAUAGAAUGCUUGUAUAGACUCCCUAAUCCUUCUGAAGGUACUGACUGAGCAAGGCUACAAAGCCUCCAAAUCUAAAUGUCCAUGGGUACAGACAACUGACUUAUUUAGGCCAUAAAGCAUCUCGGAGCACUAAAAAACUCACAGUAAAAUAUCUUGAAGGAAUUUUGACAAUCUUUUCUUAAGAAGAAAGAAAAAAAACCAGAAAUUUUUAGAGGCAGCUGGUUAUUGCCAUCAAUGGAUUCUUAAUUUUGCCAUCCUAGCCAAGCCUUUAUAUGUUUUCCUCUCAGGUAUAACCUCAGAACCCCUUUUAUGGCCCUCUGAGACACUGGCCUCCUUUGAAGCAUUAAAAUAAGCAUUAUCUACACCCCCAGCUCUCAGUUUAUCCAAUUUUGACAAACCUUUUCAACAAUAUUGCCAUGAAAUUAAUGAGAUUGUUGCUAGUAUUCUAGAACAGCCGUUUGUCUCUCAAUUACUUUUUAUGGCAUAUUUCUUAUUUCGAUCAACCCUGUGACAUCAGGCAUGCCUCCAUGCCUGUGUGCGAAAGCCACAGCUGCCACCCUAAUGGAAAAAGCCUUUAUUCUUACAU
rnacentral:lncRNA from 10 species